GAGGGUUUUGAACAUUACCAGUGGCAGCAGCAAGCAGAGGAAAGUGGGAGCAAAAUGGAGGGAGAGGCACUGAUAUACCUGCAGCUGCACAAGCUAUCAACCAUAAAGUCCCAAGAAGACCUCCAACACAUCCUCUCAACUCUUUGGAAUACCAGAAAAACCGGUCUCUCUGCCCCCGACAAAUCUUCCCUUCGGUCUCUCCUCAAUCUUCCUUCCUCCGCCGAACUCGAUCCUGUUCUGGCAUGCCUUCGUUCGCUUAUCAGAAAAUGUGUAAAUGAGAACUUCACCGGUGAUGAUAUUCUGAAGCUCUUUCCACCUGAUCUGCCUCUUGAUUUGCAAAGCACUCUUAUUCUGUUAUUCCAGAAAUAUCAGGACCAGUGGAAAGAAGAAAUGUCCAGAGAGCAGCAUCUAUUGCCAAGGACUAGUGUCUCCCACCAGGUCAAUGUGGGUUUUCUACCUUCUUUCACAUCUUUCCCCCUAACAGAAAAUUUUGCUUCACUGUGGCCUCGGCAAGAUGAUCCCAUUAAUCGGUUUAGUGGAAAUGAUUUUGGGGCUUCUACACCAAUCACUGCUGAAAUUAAUGUGUCACACAUGGCUUCGAUCCCUCUCUAGCCAAAUGUUGGUCCAACUGACAAUCUGGGAAUUCUACCCCGACUCAAGUCAAUGACAUGGACCUUAGAGAAUCGAAAUAAAACACCAACUAAUAGAGUUGCUGUCAUCAGUCUUAAGCUGCAAGAUUAUACCAAAUCUCCUUCAGGAGAGAUGGAGGUGAAGUUUCAGCUUACCAAAGACACCCUUGAAGCUAUGUUAAGAUCAAUGACUUACAUCAGUGAACAGCUAUCCACCCUCGUUGGAUCUUCUACGGAGCCCUUGCAGAAGAAACAGAGGCAGUGAUCAUUUUGCUUUUGUAAUGUCGUAGUCAUGAUCAAAACACUAUAUUGCUGGCUUGAAAUGCAUGCAAGUGCCGUUUCAGCAGCAAGGAAAAACACAAAUCGCAGGUGGCAACUAGCAUUUGUGCCCAAUGUUAACAGUUUGUAUAUGUUAUUUUUGAAUGCCCUCAAAUUCAAAUGUAAUGAUCAAAUUUGUUUAUAUAUUACUAUUGGUGCGAUGAUUUGCCAAGUCCA